rnacentral:rRNA from 1 species
AGUCUUAACCGGGCGUUAAGUUGCAGGGUAUAGACCCGAAACCCGGUGAUCUAGCCAUGGGCAGGUUGAAGGUUGGGUAACACUAACUGGAGGACCGAACCGACUAAUGUUGAAAAAUUAGCGGAUGACCUGUGGCUGGGGGUGAAAGGCCAAUCAAACCGGGAGAUAGCUGGUUCUCCCCGAAAGCUAUUUAGGUAGCGCCUCGUGAAUUCAUCUCCGGGGGUAGAGCACUGUUUCGGCUAGGGGGCCAUCCCGGCUUACCAACCCGAUGCAAACUGCGAAUACCGGAGAAUGUUAUCACGGGAGACACACGGCGGGUGCUAACGUCCGUCGUGAAGAGGGAAACAACCCAGACCGCCAGCUAAGGUCCCAAAGUCAUGGUUAAGUGGGAAACGAUGUGGGAAGGCCCAGACAGCCAGGAUGUUGGCUUAGAAGCAGCCAUCAUUUAAAGAAAGCGUAAUAGCUCACUGGUCGAGUCGGCCUGCGCGGAAGAUGUAACGGGGCUAAACCAUGCACCGAAGCUGCGGCAGCGACGCUUAUGCGUUGUUGGGUAGGGGAGCG